CAAUAAGCGGAGGAAAAGAAACCAACAGGGAUUACCUCAGUAACGGCGAGUGAAGCGGUAACAGCUCAAAUUUGAAAGCUAGCUCUUUUAGGGUUCGCAUUGUAAUUUGUAGAAGAUGCUUCGGGUGUGGCCCCGGUCUAAGUUCCUUGGAACAGGACGUCAUAGAGGGUGAGAAUCCCGUAUGUGACUGGGUGCUUUCGCUCAUGUGAAGCUCUUUCGACGAGUCGAGUUGUUUGGGAAUGCAGCUCAAAAUGGGUGGUAAAUUUCAUCUAAAGCUAAAUAUUGGCCAGAGACCGAUAGCGCACAAGUAGAGUGAUCGAAAGAUGAAAAGCACUUUGGAAAGAGAGUUAAACAGUACGUGAAAUUGUUGAAAGGGAAGCGCUUGCAACCAGACUUGCGCGCUGAUGAUCAUCCGGGCUUCUGUCCGGUGCACUCGUCUGCGCUCAGGCCAGCAUCGGUUUCGGUGGUGGGAUAAAGGCCUUGGGAAUGUAGCUUCUUUCGGGGAGUGUUAUAGCCCUCGGUGCAAUGCCGCCUACCGGGACCGAGG
rnacentral:rRNA from 2 species